rnacentral:rRNA from 1 species
UCGGGUUGUAAACCCCUUUCGACCGGGAAGAUAAUGACGGUACCGGUAGAAUAAGCCCCGGCUAACUUCGUGCCAGCAGCCGCGGUAAUACGAAGGGGGCAAGCGUUGUUCGGAAUUAUUGGGCGUAAAGGGUGCGUAGGCGGUUUUGUAAGUCUGGUGUGAAAUCUCCGGGCUCAACUCGGAGGCUGCCCCGGAAACUGCCGGGCUUGAGUAUGGGAGAGGUGAGUGGAAUUCCCGGUGUAGCGGUGAAAUGCGUAGAUAUCCGGAGGAACACCUGUGGCGAAAGCGGCUCACUGGACCAUUACUGACGCUGAUGCACGAAAGCUUGGGGAGCAAACAGGAUUAGAUACCCUGGUAGUCCACGCCCUAAACGAUGAAUGCUUGGUGUGA